GACGAACGCUGGCGGCGUGCUUAACACAUGCAAGUCGAACGGAAAGGCCCUGCUUUUGUGGGGUGCUCGAGUGGCGAACGGGUGAGUAACACGUGAGUAACCUGCCCUUGACUUUGGGAUAACUUCAGGAAACUGGGGCUAAUACCGGAUAGGAGCUCCUGCUGCAUGGUGGGGGUUGGAAAGUUUCGGCGGUUGGGGAUGGACUCGCGGCUUAUCAGCUUGUUGGUGGGGUAGUGGAUUACCAAGGCUUUGACGGGUAGCCGGCCUGAGAGGGUGACCGGCCACAUUGGGACUGAGAUACGGCCCAGACUCCUACGGGAGGCAGCAGUGGGGAAUAUUGCACAAUGGGCGGAAGCCUGAUGCAGCAACGCCGCGUGCGGGAUGACGGCCUUCGGGUUGAAAACCGCUUUCGCCUGUGACGAAGCGUGAGUGACGGUAAUGGGUAAAGAAGCACCGGCUAACUACGUG
rnacentral:rRNA from 1 species